CAACUACUCCCUCUGUCCCAAAUUUCUUGUCUUAGAUUUGUCUAGAUACAGAUGUAUCUAAUACUAAAAUGUGACUUGAUACAUCCGUAUCUAGACAAAUCUAAGACAAGAAUUUUGGGACGGAGGGAG
rnacentral:pre_miRNA from 1 species